rnacentral:rRNA from 1 species
CCUACGGGUGGCAGCAGUGAGGAAUAUUGGUCAAUGGCCGGAAGGCUGAACCAGCCAUGCCGCGUGAAGGUCAGUGCCCUAUGGGCGUUAAACUUCUUUUGUGCGGGAGCAAUAAUGGUCACGUGUGGCCAGACGAGAGUACCGUACGAAUAAGCAGCGGCUAACUCCGUGCCAGUAGCCGCGGCAAUGGGGGGGAUGCAGGCGUUAGCCCGAUUUAGAGGGUUUGAAGGGGGCGUAGGCGGGGAGGUAAGGCAGCGGUGAAAUGCCCCCGCUCAACGGGGUGAAGUGCCAUUGAUACUGGCUUGCUGGAAUGCGGAUGCGGUGGGAGGAAUUUGUGGUGUAGCGGUGAAAUGCAUAGAUAUCACACAGAACAUCGAUUGCGAAGGCAUCUCACGGAUCCGCGAUUGACGCUGAUGCACGAAAGCGUGGGUAUCAAACAGGAUUAGAUACCCCGGUAGUC